GACAGAGGUGCCGAGCGUUAGGCGGAAUCAGCUAGGGCUUAAAGCGUGUGUAGGCGGAGUGGGAUAACGUACCUUAGUCGAAAUCCCGACGGCUCAACCGUGGAACUGCUCGGUAUACUGCUCGUCUUGAGCUGUCUAGGGGCAACCGGAACAAACGGUGGAGCGGUGAAAUGCGUAGAUAUCGUUUGGAACGCCGAUGGUGAAAACAGGUUGCUGGGGACAUGCUGACGCUGAGACACGAAAGCCAGGGGAGCGAACGGG
rnacentral:rRNA from 1 species